rnacentral:rRNA from 1 species
AGGCUUAACACAUGCAAGUCGAGGGGCAGCAUGGUCUUAGCUUGCUAAGGCCGAUGGCGACCGGCGCACGGGUGAGUAACACGUAUCCAACCUGCCGUCUACUCUUGGACAGCCUUCUGAAAGGAAGAUUAAUACAAGAUGGCAUCAUGAGUCCGCAUGUUCACAUGAUUAAAGGUAUUCCGGUAGACGAUGGGGAUGCGUUCCAUUAGAUAGUAGGCGGGGUAACGGCCCACCUAGUCUUCGAUGGAUAGGGGUUCUGAGAGGAAGGUCCCCCACAUUGGAACUGAGACACGGUCCAAACUCCUACGGGAGGCAGCAGUGAGGAAUAUUGGUCAAUGGGCGAGAGCCUGAACCAGCCAAGUAGCGUGAAGGAUGACUGCCCUAUGGGUUGUAAACUUCUUUUAUAAAGGAAUAAAGUCGGGUAUGGAUACCCGUUUGCAUGUACUUUAUGAAUAAGGAUCGGCUAACUCCGUGCCAGCAGCCGCGGUAAUACGGAGGAUCCGAGCGUUAUCCGGAUUUAUUGGGUUUAAAGGGAGCGUAGAUGGAUGUUUAAGUCAGUUGUGAAAGUUUGCGGCUCAACCGUAAAAUUGCAGUUGAUACUGGAUAUCUUGAGUGCAGUUGAGGCAGGCGGAAUUCGUGGUGUAGCGGUGAAAUGCUUAGAUAUCACGAAGAACUCCGAUUGCGAAGGCAGCCUGCUAAGCUGCAACUGACAUUGAGGCUCGAAAGUGUGGGUAUCAAACAGGAUUAGAUACCCUGGUAGUCCACACGGUAAACGAUGAAUACUCGCUGUUUGCGAUAUACAGCAAGCGGCCAAGCGAAAGCGUUAAGUAUUCCACCUGGGGAGUACGCCGGCAACGGUGAAACUCAAAGGAAUUGACGGGGGCCCGCACAAGCGGAGGAACAUGUGGUUUAAUUCGAUGAUACGCGAGGAACCUUACCCGGGCUUAAAUUGCAGAUGAAUUACGGUGAAAGCCGUAAGCCGCAAGGCAUCUGUGAAGGUGCUGCAUGGUUGUCGUCAGCUCGUGCCGUGAGGUGUCGGCUUAAGUGCCAUAACGAGCGCAACCCUUGUUGUCAGUUACUAACAGGUUCCGCUGAGGACUCUGACAAGACUGCCAUCGUAAGAUGUGAGGAAGGUGGGGAUGACGUCAAAUCAGCACGGCCCUUACGUCCGGGGCUACACACGUGUUACAAUGGGGGGUACAGAGGGCCGCUACCACGCGAGUGGAUGCCAAUCCCAAAAACCUCUCUCAGUUCGGACUGGAGUCUGCAACCCGACUCCACGAAGCUGGAUUCGCUAGUAAUCGCGCAUCAGCCACGGCGCGGUGAAUACGUUCCCGGGCCUUGUACACACCGCCCGUCAAGCCAUGGGAGCCGGGGGUACCUGAAGUGCGUAACCGCGAGGAGCGCCCUAGGGUAAAACUGGUGACUGGGGCUAAGUCAUAAC